CGUCCGUAAGUUGUCCAUCGAAAACUCAGCAGACGCUCGGUCGUGGUAAACGCCACCUGGUGGCGAAAAUGACAACCGAUGGAUUGUUACUUCAAGAAGUCAUUUUUUGGGAGUGAUAGUCCUCCUACAGAAGAACUGCUGGAAAGCAAAAAGGAAACAGGCGAGCGGAUACAGCUUUGAAGCGGGAUAAGCGACGUGAUUGUACGAGAAUGGUCAGCCGACGACAUGCUCAAGCCAAACGUUUAAGAAAAUUGUUCAUAAACCACACGCCAUUUUCAUUACGUCGCAAGAUUCCAAAAGAAGUCCAAAAUUAUGCUGGCCAAUAUGCGUUAUUCAUCAUUUAAACAUGCUCAAUAGCUCAGGUGUCAGAGCGUUUCAAUAUUUUUCUAAGCAUAGAUGGUUCAAAUCGACAGUUCCGUUACAUUAGUGUGACUACAAAAACCCAUAAUCUAAAAUAAAAAGUCGGUGAAUAUGACGGAACAAGUGGAUAGCGAACACAUGCAUUAGAGAUAGGAACCAUCAGUUAUCGUGAAAAAACAAAAUAUGUUAUCGACCAAUUUACAAAUUAUGCAUAUAUUCUGAAUCAGCACAAAAAAUCAAAUAAAGUUCAUUAAAUGAUUUUUUGGGAAAUUAAUAAAAAAAAAGUAAAAACGCAUCA